AAAGCCGUAGUCGAUGGGAAGCUGGUUAAUAUUCCAGCACUUGUAAUUAUUGCGAUGGAGGGACGGAGAAGGCUAGGCUAGCGCGGCGAUGGUUGUCCGCGUGAGAAGGUGUAGGCUGAGAUCUUAGGUAAAUCCGGGAUCUCUUAAGGCUGAGGCCGAGGACGAACCGAGUCUUUGUACUCGGGAAGUAGUUAAUGCCAUGCUUCCAGGAAAAGCUUCUAAGCUUCAGAUAAUUACGAAUCGUACCCCAAACCGACACAGGUGGUCAGGUAGAGAAUACCAAGGCGCUUGAGAGAACUCGGGUGAAGGAACUAGGCAAAAUGGUACCGUAACUUCGGGAGAAGGUACGCCGCUUUCGGUGAUGGGACUUGCUCCCUAAGCUGAGGGCGGUCGAAGAUACCAGGUGGCUGCGACUGUUUACUAAAAACACAGCACUCUGCAAACUCGUAAGAGGACGUAUAGGGUGUGACGCCUGCCCGGUGCUUGAAGGUUAAUUGAUGGGGUUAUCUUCGGAGAAGCUCUUGAUCGAAGCCCAAGUAAACGGCGGCCGUAACUAUAACGGUCCUAAGGUAGCGAAAUUCCUUGUCGGGUAAGUUCCGACCUGCACGAAUGGCGUAACGAUGGCCACACUGUCUCCACCCGAGACUCAGUGAAAUUGAAUUUGCGGUUAAGAUGCCGUAUACCCGCGGCUAGACGGAAAGACCCCGUGCACCUUUACUACAGCUUUGCACUGGACUUUGAUUUUACCUGUGUAGGAUAGGUGGGAGACUUUGAAGCGCUGUCGCUAGAUAGCGUGGAGUCGACCUUGAAAUACCACCCUGGUAACGUUGAGGUUCUAACUUCGGUCCCUUAUCGGGAUUAAGGACAGUGUAUGGUGGGUAGUUUGACUGGGGCGGUCUCCUCCCAAAGAGUAACGGAGGAGCGCGAAGGUACCCUCAGCAUGGUCGGAAAUCAUGCAACGAGUGCAAUAGCAGAAGGGUGCUUGACUGCGAGACAGACACGUCGAGCAGGUACGAAAGUAGGUUAUAGUGAUCCGGUGGUUCUGUAUGGAAGGGCCAUCGCUCAACGGAUAAAAGGUACGCCGGGGAUAACAGGCUGAUACCGCCCAAGAGUUCACAUCGACGGCGGUGUUUGGCACCUCGAUGUCGGCUCAUCACAUCCUGGGGCUGAAGCCAGUCCCAAGGGUAUGGCUGUUCGCCAUUUAAAGUGGUACGCGAGCUGGGUUUAGAACGUCGUGAGACAGUUCGGUCCCUAUCUGCCGUGGGCGUUUGAGAAUUGAGAGGAGCUGCUCCUAGUACGAGAGGACCGGAGUGGACGAACCUCUGGUGUUCCGGUUGUCACGCCAGUGGCAUUGCCGGGUAGCUACGUUCGGAAAGGAUAACCGCUGAAAGCAUCUAAGCGGGAAGCCCCCCUCAAGAUUAAUUCUCACUGGGACUUUAAGUCCCCUAAAGAGCCGUUGAAGACUACAACGUUGAUAGGCUGGGUGUGUAAGCGCUGUGAGGCGUUGAGCUAACCAGUACUAAUUGCUCGUGAGGCUUGAUCAU
rnacentral:rRNA from 1 species